rnacentral:lncRNA from 1 species
UUAGAGCUCAUUAACCGCCCGAUUCCGCCGCUGAUAUGAUCGUCAGUAAACCAGUUUGUAAUUGUACGCGUUGGGUGAUGUCCGCUUGUUGUUCUUAAAUCCCGUUUAUCGCUCAUUAAGAGGAAAAAGCAAAAAAAAAACAACAACAAAAAUAUCGCGAUUAUUUUUAAAUCAAACGAUAAGGAUACGACGGUUUGUCCGUACGGGUUUUCCGCACUCAGUUAUAAAAUGUACAAUUUUUUAGUAUUUCUCGUGUGUCUUCGUUUAAGUUCUGGCUCAGAAACGUUAGGUUUAGACGAAGGUCAAAAGUGCGGCGAAGGUACUUGCACCAAAAUAGUACAGUGCGCGCCAGCCCUGGUCUCCCUCAGGACCUACCGCGAGCACGGCCUCCUCAGAUGCGGCUUUGACGGGUUCGAAGAGAUCGUCUGCUGCCCGGGAAAAAACGGUACGUUCUCCAUCGGAGUCUAGUACCGUGGACUCGACCCUGGUAUGGUCCGACGGCGAUAAAAAGAAAAAACCGACCAAAGGAGGCAAAGGAAACGGUUUCGCCCGGCAACACUGGACGCAUCAAAACGAAACGGAAAUGCGAAUUGAUGUGCGAGAAGAUUCACAAGGAGAACAACGUCAAACCGGAAAUAAACUUCCACGUGCUCAACGGUGAGGACGCAGAGUCCGGCCAGUUUCCUCAUAUGGCGGCUUUGGGUUACGACACCCCCGACGGUACCAUCGACUGGCAACGGUGCGCAGGCUCGUUGAUCUCGCCCCGAUUCGUACUGACCGCGUCGCACUGCGUCUUUUUGCGUCAACUGCGCCGAUCCGGUCAAAGUUCGGUUCGGCGUGAGCGACGUUACGUAAGUUUUACCGGGUACUUGCUAUGUGGCAACACUGCAUCUAUUAUUGUUAUUCA